rnacentral:rRNA from 1 species
ACGGAGGAUCCGUGCGUUAUCCGGAAUUACUGGGUUUAAAGGGUGCGUAGGCGGGGCUUUAAGCCGGCGGUGAAAUGCAACGGCUCCACCGCUGGAAUGCCGUUGGGACUGUGGAUCUUGGAUACGGUCGGGGCGGGUGGAAACCUUGGUGUAGCGGUGAAAUGCAUAGAUAUCACGAGGAACGCCGGUAGCGAAGGCAGCACGCCGAGCCGGUAUUGACGCUGAGGCACGAAAGCGUGGGGUUCGAACAG